rnacentral:lncRNA from 1 species
UUUCCCCAGAUAUCGCCUUCAAAUCUGUAAGGCCCCCAGAGCACCCAAAUAAUAAAAUCCCCAAAAAUGUCAAUUAAUACUAAUAGCAACAAGUCUAAAUCCGCCCUCCGGCUCCGCCCCAGCUUACAUCUUUCCUUCAUUAUUUUCCUCCUAUUCAUCGUCCCCAAAUCUGUCACCCCAAUCCCAGAAACGACGUCGUCCACUAAAGCUUCGACUCGCGGAAGCAUCCGAGAUUGCACUGAUGUGGGGUCAAGAUCGGAGUGCUCGUUGAACGCCAAAUGCAGGUGGUGCCGCAGCGACACCAUCGAUGACUUCUGCUUCUCCAAAUCUAAUGCCUUGCGGUUGCCCUCCCAAGUCUUCACUUGCGAUUGAAUUUCGGUUGCCAAUUGUUUCAUUUUGGUGAUUAACCGGUUGUUUCGAUUCUUGUCCUUGUUGUUGUUGUUGUAGUAUUUUUCCACCAAAUUUUGGAAUUUCUUCCUUUUUCUGGGGAAAAAAAAAUUCCCUUUGUCCAGCGUUUUUUCGCUUUGAGAUGGAAUUUUUCUGCUUCCUGUUGAACCUUUUUCUUCAAUUCCUCGUUAAUGCAGUUGUAUUGUCCUUCUAGAAAAGGACUCGCUAAUUCGAUUUUUUUUUUUUUUUUUUUUUUUUUUUACUCUGGGCAGUAAAGUUGAAGGCUUUUUGUACUGCCAAUUAAGAGAGAGAGAGAGCCAAAAAAAAAAAAAAAAAAAAGGGAAAGAAAGCAAAAAGUUGCAAAUGGGCUUUCAGCCGGAAGUCUGAAAAGUGUUUUUUUUUUUGAAGCUAAAGAGGGUUUGGAAAAGAUGUAGAAAACAGAAGUCUAAGGUAAAACUAAAAAUUUGGAGACUCGCUUACACAAUGAAGCUGCUUUUGCAAUUCAACUCUAAACUCUGAAGAACAGGAAAACAGAAGUCUAAGGUGAAACUAAAAAUUCUGAGUUUGUAAACUGUGCUACUCUGCUGUUCUGUUUCUUAAUUAAUGCAGUUGAACGAAGUAUAUGUUCGACAACGUGUGCUCUGGAAACAAAGACUAAGAUGGAAAAAAUAAAUACUAACAUUUCUACUUCUUUGUCAUGUUGUCCCUCCUGCGAAUUGAGAUACAUAAUUUUUGACAGCAUCUCUAGUGUCCUCAACUUCAUCCAACUUCUCAAAAAACUGAAUUAAAUUCUUCAGCUCCCCAUCUCCGAGAUCAUCAAUAAACGGGAGAAUCGGCAAGGCAUUAUCAGGCUGAAAAACAUACGAAUUCGGAUUAUCAUCAACAAUCACAACCCUUUUCAAAUCCCUUCCCAGCUCGGACAAAUCUUUCACAAACUUCCCAUCCAGUUCUUUGCACGAAUCUCGGUACAAUCUGUGGGAAACCAAACCCUUUCCAUCAAUUCUGUCGAGCACUUGGGAAGCAUACUCCUCAAUUCCAGCUGUGAACACCACAAUCUCAAAUUUAUUACUCAGGAACUCCAAAAAUUCUUCCACAAAUGGCCUCUUUAACACGAAGAAAUCCACUCUUUCUCCAUCUAUCAUCGGCCUAACUAUGAAAUCAUACUUUUCUGGAGCAGGGCUCGGCUGGGAAUGCACCAGAGUCUCGUCCAAAUCAAGAAAGACAGUCUUUUUCUCUGGCGAAACCGGUGGUGGAAGUGCAGAUCCUUUUUCGUCAUCAAACAGAGCCCUUCUGAUGCUACUUUCGGGAUCUGCAGAACCCUUUUGAAGUAACUGAUACCCCCGUUUUCUUGGGCUCUUCUUCUUAAUUGGGGUGGCAAUGCGCGCUAAUUUGGAGAAAAUCUUGAUGAGGCGGCGGUGGCAAGUGUAAAUGGACUUGUUAAUCGAAGCAACCACCACUGAAGCAGCGGCGGAGGCAUUCUUUACGGGGGAUUUUUUCCGGCGUUGGUGGCUGUGGUGACGGUGGCGCGGAUUUUUUAUGGACUUUGUUGGGGUUUUCUUCACAAUCUUGGACACCAUUUUUGUUGAAUUUCGUGGAGAAGAUCCAGAAAUCAAGACGAAAGGGGAAAGGAAGAGUGGUUAAUUGAUGCGGUUUUUAGUGGGGGAAAGGAGUAUAUGGGGGAACGUGGAGAGAAUAGGGUGGGGAGUUUUUAAAAUUUUGCCGUUGCAACGGUCGAAUUAGUCCGUCCAGCUUGAUUGGAUAUCUAAAAACAAAAAAGUACGUGUACGUUGCUCAAAACAGCAGGCUGAAGCCAUCCAAAUUUCAAAACAAUGUGAAGGAAAAAAGAGAUGAGAAAAGAAGAGCACGAACUAAAUACAUUUACAUUCGAACUUUAUACGAUGUUAGUACUCUAGGAGUCAAGUACUAGUUCAAAAUCAUUUGCCGGGAAUGGAUAACUUUUGGAUAUAGACUAGUGUUGUUUUAACAAAAAAAAAAAAAAAAAUAGAUGAAGUAGAAGAAGGAAAUAGAAAACCACUGGGCCCUCAGUGGCCAUCACAUUUCAGUGGCUUGUUUUCAAAAAAUCCAGGCGGGUGUGCUGUACACCCGUUUGGUCCGGUGAUGAUUCAGUCCCCUCCGAUUUAUUCAUGAGCCUCCUUAGGCUUGCCCCCUUCCCCUUAGUAUAGGAUAGAUUAGGUUUAUCGUCUCCGACAAAAAAGAAGAAGAAGGAAAUAGAAUAUUCCCUUAACACGUUUUAUGACUAUUUUUUCGCAGCAACAGAUCUUCUGUUACACAAUGGGUGUAACAUUCAUGUUAUACAAUAGUUGUAACAUCACUGGAAUAUAUUGACACUCAUCAUCUUUAAAUUAUGGAUUAAUGGUUUUUACACCGACAAUGUAUAGAUGAAUGAUAAUUAUGUAAAAUUUGAAUUUGAAAUUCAACUUUACAUACAUGUCAUGAAUUCAACAAUGAUAAUAUAUACACUGUCUCUGUAUAUAAGAUUUAUUCUUAAAUUAUACACUAAUUAAGUUAAAAUCUUAAAAAGAACUAACGUUAGUGUGUCAACAAGUCCUACACAUUAGUAUGUUUUGGGCUUUGAGACGCAAGUGAGCCAACCCAAGGCCUACAACGUGAACUUUGUGGCCACGGCAUUAGUGUGGGAAAAGGUCUUUUGGACCUUGCUGCUGCUGAUCCCAGGAUGUUUCUAAUUUUGUUUCAGGGUUCAGUUUGAUGCAACACUUCUCACUAAACAAAGAUCAAAAUCUACACAAAAAAAAAAAAAAAAAAUCAUUCUGAUUAACCAACCCAGUGAACACUCACAAGCCAUGAAACCCUGAAUACUCAGCCAUAUUUUAUGAACCGAGGUCAUUCAAUGCAAAAUAAUCUCAAUAAAGUAAAGUAAAGUUUGUUUCUAUACAGUAGUGGUAUUGGCACAAUUUUACAAUUCUCACACAAACACCUUAACAUCUGUGCCAUACAAUAUUGGUUAAGUAGAACGUCGAGAAACUAAUUUGAAGUAUUAUUAUAGGCAAAGGCACAGAAAGUUAAGAAUUAGUAAAGCAACUUUCUUAUGAGUUGUGGAAAAACUCAAAAAAGUAAAAGUCGGGGGGGGGGGGGUCAUCUCAUUGCCUGCCACUUCGAACAUUAAAGCAACCGCCAAAUCUUUCUGAGCUCCAUGAAUUAGGGAAGGAAGACAUCGCAAACUAAGGUGGAACGAGCAAAAACAUCAUUCCAUUUGGUUUUGAAAUUAAUUAAUCUGAAACGUAAUAAUAAACAUAUCUCCUGUCUCGAAAGUUAAGAUGCUUUUCAAGUAUAUUCCCCUAAAUAGCCAUAUGGUUGGAAAACACUCACUGGAGGAAUAGCCUCCGUGUGAAAAUGGCAGAAUAUUGGGAACAGAUGAAGACUUGAAGAAUACUAACGACUCAGAAAGACAUGCAAGUGGGAUCGGUAAAUAAAGUUGAUAGAUAGUGGAACACCGGAAGUACAAAGAGUUAGUACCAGUUGAUAUUGAUAAUUUUGACUGAUUAGAAGCUCUAAAACAUCCACCAAAUAGUAAUAUAGUUUGGGAGCUGGGGACUUGGGGCUGAGUUGAGUUGCAUUUUGCAUGCCAGUUGAAUUAGGGUUGCAUGCUCGAUCGAUUGGGUUGAAAUCAUCAUUACUAUAUGUUGGAGGGCUUUAUGACAUUUCUUGCUCUUUUUUGUUGGUAGAGUUUACCUUUUCUAGAUGGUUUUUUUUUUUUUGGGUAAGACCUUUUCUAGAUGGUUAAUAAACGUGUAGUACUUGUCAAUUUCAACCUUUUUCCCCCUCCUUGAAAAAGUGAUUUCUAAGAAUGAACUGUUAAAUCCCAUGAUUCAAUAAUAAAAAAAAAACCGUUAAAUCCCAUGAUUCAGUUUUAUUAAGGUAAAAUUGAUAUCAUCUAUGAUGUGAAAAAUCUUGACAACAUUUAUGUGCUAAAAGAAAUGGUGAAGCAUACCAAUUACACAACUCUAGUAUAGAGCUUUGAUCUCGUAAGAAGUUAAAAAUAAAAAGGAACUUGAAGUUAUCAUUUAUUGUAUAGAUAUUCUAUAAAAAAGUUAAAAAAAAAUAUAUAUAUAUAGAAACAUAGUUUUACUAAAUAGAUAAAUUGAUUUAAAAAGGGAAAGUACGAUUGCAUUAAACAACUUAAUAGGCGAAACAAAUAUCAAAUUAAUCACUUAUUACAUUUCUUAAUAAUGCCAUACGUCAUGAAAUUAGAGCCUGUGAAUUGUCCUAAAACAGUCAAAGCGUCUGGAGACACAAGCACCUAAGUGAUUCCAAAAUGUACAGCUACUUUGCCGUCAACGUACGCCAACAUUUUGGUCACCCCUGGCAGAUUUUAAAUGUGGAUUCUUCUUGGUUUCACACUACUCUUUCUCACUAACAAUUCCCAUUUUCAUUAGACCUUUGGUUCAUUAAAAGGGAGCAUACAAGUCAACAUGGUUACAAAUUUUUGGAUACAAUUGAAAAGAAAAAAGCUAUAUUCACAGAGGGGCAAGAUGGCUUGGAUAUUUGUUUACCAUUGGGAAUGAUAUGAAGUGUAGAUUAGAACUAAACAAGCAUGCAUAUUUAACAACCGCUAACAAAACAUUAUUAAAUAAGUCUCAGUUAUCUAUUGAUUGAGAAUCAAUCAAAAUUGUAUGAUUUUGGACUUUUCUUCUCUCUACGUGCUGCUUCAUAGCGCAGCAUUGUAGCUUGAAGCCUUCAAGGAUGAUUUUUUUUUUAUUCAUGCAUGGAAUAUGAGGUUUGGGUGAGCACAGGCUAUGUUUUCAGACUCGGACCGAGACUCGACUCGGUCGAGGUCAGGGGUCAAUAGAUUCGACCGGAGUCGAUAGGGGGUUGACCCGGAUGACGUCAUAUAUAUAUAUAUAUAUAUAUACCUGCAAAUCAAAUUUACAAAAUAUAACAAAAGAACCCAAUCAUCUAAAUUUAUAUCCAAUUCAUCAAACAAUUCACCUAUAAUAAUAGAUUCAAAAGCCUGAAUAACAAUUUUAUAGCUCCAAAAGAUAAUACAGUACGUGGUCUUCAACAUUGUCACAAUUCAACUUCGAUUCAAUUUUCCAAUUAAAAUGAUAAGUUAUAUAAAACCUUCCCCAACAGAGUUUAAACACAAUGGAAUAUCAAGUUUUCAAAAAAAAUUGACCCGGCGAAGAAGGGAGGAGGAGAAAUAUGGCAACGAGCAGGACAACAUAAAAUGUCCUAUAUAAAUGAUUGUUAUGCAAUUCAGACAAAUUCAUGUGAGUGGCCCCAUAAAUAGCGAUACCUGAUAGCAGCAAGAAGUUUAUUAAGGUGUUUGAAAGUUUUUGAUUUAAUAGGAAUACAAAACCAUUGACUGAGUAACCACAUAUACACCAGACAUCAAAAAGAAACAAUUAUUUAUAUUCAUCAGUAUAACCCAAAAAACAAUACUAAUCAAAUAAGCUACUUCAAACAAAGGUUUUAGCUAAAUAUCAUGAAUGGCCAGAAUACUGGGUAAAUAAUCAAACACUGAAUUUAGUUGUCAAAUAAGCAUUAAAUAUUUAAAUUAAGCUCAACAAUUUUCACAAAAUAACCACAAUCAAGUAACGAAGUAAUACAUGCAGAGGAUAAAAAGGUUAACAACAAAGUUUUACACCAAAAAAAAAGGAAAUAGAUUUAUGAAAAGUGAAAAAGAAAAAAAAUGGAAUCUGGGUCGUGCAGCCAAUGAACAAGGACUACCCACCUCAAACCAGAAACUGUGUGUAUUUGCCUCAACUGAACUAAUUCACUAGCUGCCACUGAAGGUGGUCUCUCUUCCUCAACAAGCCUUUCAUUCCGCAGGAAUCAGCCCCUGAGUAGUGACUGAAGUAAAAUACAUAAAUCUCAGGUUUUCAAGAAUCUGCGUCGAAACUCAAGUCCUUCAUAGGCGCUUUCCAGUUAACAGACAAACAUGUCCAUUACAUGGUGAAUCUCAAGUGACAACGGUGGAGGCUUUUAGAGUUUGGGUUAUUGGAGCUGAAGAAGAAAGAAAGAAAACGACGGAAAGAGAAGCAGAGGAGCUGACCCAAGAGUUUUGUUAAUUUCGUUUGAUUUUUUUGGUUGGUUAGUCAAACUUUUGAUUGAAAACAUAAGGCCGAAAAAGGAAAAAAAAAAAUCGGGAUUGAUCAAAUUAUCCGGUUCACCGGUCAAACCCGGUUUAUGACCGGAUUUGACCAAAUUUUUAAUACCCGAGUUUCUUAACUAACUCGGACCGGAUGCUUGGCCGGUUCCUGGUCGACCCGACCGGUCCGGUUCGAUCUAAAAACAUAGAGCGCAGGUAUAAUUCAUGGACAAAUGAGGUCAACUCGAUCCACAGCGUAAAAGGUUUGAAACGAGUAGUCCAAAUCGAACAAUUAGCAUUUGGCUUUGAUUUAGACCGUCAAUUGCAUAGUACAACCAUGAUUUAGACCAUCAGCACAAGGCUGUAAACAGAUUGAAUUUUUAGCGAACAAUUUUAAGUCAAUUCAUUAAGGGUUCGACUUAAUUUCAAUUUUUAACGAACGUGAACUCAAAUUUAAACAAGAAUAGGAUUCGAUUAAAUUGAGUAUCGAAUCAAAUUUGAACUUGUAUAUAUUCGCUCAUUAAGAUUUGAUUAGGCUCGAUUAACUUUUUAUAUAAUAUAUUUAUUGAUAUUUCAUAUAAAAUUACACAUUAUUUUAUUAUACUAAUAUUACAUAUGUAUUAUUUAUAUAAUUACUAAAAAAUUUAAAUAAAAAUUCAAGUUAAACUUUAGACUAUUAACUGUUAAAUUGAAUAGAACUCGAGUUGAAAUUUAAAAUUUCGAAUCAAGCCUGAUGGUUCACAUGUUUGAUUCAAUUCAAUUUGUUUACUAGACCCGUUCAACCAUGCACAUGCUGGGACAAACUUUUCAAAGUUUGUGGCCCAUUCCCAGCCAUUUUGUCUCCUACUAAGCCCUAUAGAGGAGCUAAGACCCGAUCGUUGAAAUAUAAACUUAGAUAUAAUUUCCUUCGAUGUUCUCAUGCACAAUAGAGGAUAAACCUGAAUUUGACUCGUAUUUGCAUUCUUGUGUGUGUGAAUAGAAAAUAUAGGAACAAACUUUUCUUCAAAAUUUUCUCCUAGGCUUCGAAACUGAUGCACAAAAUUCACAAUCUCGAACAAAUUCUGGUACUGGAAAAAAAAAAGAACAAAUUCUGGUAAGAAAUAUUUCAUAUUCUGCUCUUCGGUUACUUCAUAGUAGCCAUCAGAUUCUUCCUCAAGUCAGGUGUCGUACAUGUUGUAUGUGAUUAAUCAGUAUUCACUUGGAAAAGGCAUUAAGAACAUAUAUAUAUAUAUCUUUUUAAUUUGAGUCUUCUAAUACAAUUAUAGCUAACUGGUUAACAAAUAAAAAAAAAAAAAAGAGCACAAUUGAUUAAUUAACAAUAUGUUAAAAGCCAGCAUAAUUGGGAUUACAGCAAGACAGUGGAAUAUAUUUUUGGGACUUCUAAGUAUUUGACAUUUCUGGUGUGGUUUCAAUUUAUCAGUCGCAAAAGGGCAGAAAUAUUGAACUAGAUAGAAAGACGUGAUCAUUGCACUCAAGAAAUGUAGUUAAUUGUACCAAAAAAAAAAGUAUUACACUAGAGAAACAAUACUGCAAUCGAUAGAGAUAAUCAUUGUAGUUCGAGACUUUAAAAGAAAGCAAUUUUAUACUUCGGACAAAAACUGUUUUUUUUUUUUUUUUUGGGAAAAUUUGGAGAAUUGGAAUAGGAAGACUGAAAGUUCAUAUGAAGGGUAUAAGUUUUGAGAAAUUUGCGAAUAAGGUAUCUGUUACUAUUCAUAAAUUAAAAUACCUAGUAAAUUAUCGCUAAAUUACUAAUUACGUUCCCAAUAAUGUGCACUUAAUUGAAUAGAAAUAUGAAUAGAAAUAAUGUGCACCUUAAAGAAUAAAUAUGCACCCAUGUAUCCAAAUAUACGAAUGUAAAUCAAUAUAUGUGCACAUAUGUAUAUUCAAAUGUGAAGAUAUGAUGUAUGUGCAAAUACAAGUACGAAUAUCUGCAUAUAAGGGUAAUUUGGUUAUUUUGCUUGCAAGGCAUUUUCUUUCUACAAUUCAAGAACAUUAACGCAUACCCCAUUUUCUUUCUACAAUUCGAGUUGAUAAUAUUUUGUAAUAAUACCGAGCUCAUUCAACUAAAAUAAUCUCAACAAAGUUGGUUUCUAUACAGUAGUGGCAAAAGAGAAUUCAUACACAAACAUUUUAACAUCUGUGCUGCAUAUUUGUCAAGUAGAAUUUCGAGAGACUUAUUCGAAAAUGUACCAUAAACUGGAAGAUACUCGUAAAAUUUCUUUCAUGCCAAGACUAUUCGAAACCAUUAGUAAUGAAUAUUAAUAAGCAUAAACUUGAAUAGAAGCCUACAAACUAGUAUAAUUAGCAGUUACUAAUUGCACGAGCAAUUGGUUACAGUUAGUGUUGUCAUUAUUACAGGCAAAGGCACACAAAGACCAUGAUUAUUCUUAAUUAAACAGUAAAGUACAACAAAAGGUAAUUAUUGGGGUUGACUUAGUGGUUAGAUGGGGGUUCUUCGAGUUUUCUCUACUGUUAGAUUAAGAGUUCAAAUCCUAAAACUAGCAAUUGGGAAUUGAAAAGAUAAGAAGGAUGUGGGGAGAGAAGGUAGGGUUCAAAAAAUAAGUACGACAGAAGGUGAAGCAAUUUUCUUGUUAGUUGUGGAAAAGUAAAACCCAGGGGGGUCAUUGCCUGCCACUUAGAAUAUUGAAGCAACCAUUAAAUCUGAGCUCCAUGUAAUCGGGGAGGAGAUUAUUUUGGUCUUAUCAUAAGCCUGUAUACUACAGUCUACAAGCGGAUUUUCAUACAAGCCUCAAUUUUCUAGUAAUUAAUGCAGGCAGCUUGGUACAAUUGAAUGUAAUUUCUGAAGAUCUCCUUUGAGAAAGUCUUAUUUUUGUUCUUCAUUAAUCUGGUUCAUAAGAUUACAAGCAACCCAGCCACAAUAGUAGGAUCAGUACAAAUAAACUACAACCCGACAUUUUAGUACAGUUUAGUAACAUUGCAAACUGAUUCGUUAAUGAUAAAAUGAGCACUAGCACUCCGUUUGGCUUUGAACCCAAGGCCUACAAUUGAACAAGAAAUUGAUUAAUCUGAAACAUUAUGAAUAAUCUUCUGUCUCUGAAGUUCAAAGGCUUUUCAAGUAUUCCUCCAAACAGCCAUAUAAUUUCCAUUUUCCAAUCAUACUCACUGGAGGAAAACCCGUGUGAAAACGCCAGAUUAGAAGAAUAUUUGGAACAGUUAAAGUUUCAAUGUUGCUAAUGACUCAGAAAGACAUGCGAGUGGGAUCAGUAAAUAAAGUUCAUGGAUAGUUGAAGACAUGAAGUAGAAAAGGUUAGUAAAGAUUGCUAAUUUUGACUGAUUAGAGGGUCCAAAAGAUAUGCUAAAUAGUAAAUAGUGGGCAGUUGGGGUUGAGGGAUUGAGUUGGGUUUUGCAUGCCAGUUGAAUUAGGGUGUCAUGCGCAAUUCAGUUGAAAUCAUCAUUGCUAUGCAUAUAUAUUGGGAGCAUGAUUUGGUUAUAAUGGUGACAGUCUUGAGCUUUAUGACAUUUGUUGCUCUUUAAUUUGUUGUUGUUAGUGUCUUUAUCUUUUCUAGAUGGUUAACUUGCAGUGCUUGUCAAGUUCAAGCUCUUGCUCUUUUUUUUUCCAACUUUUUGUGAAAGUUCUUUCUGAGGAAUAAACUAAUAAACGUCAUUAUUCCAUAAGAUAGACUCAUGCAAGAGAAAAAACAUUUUUUUUUUGCUAAAUUGAUACUAUCUAUAAUGUGAAAAAUCUUGAAAAAGUCAGUAUACUAAAAGAAUUGGUGAAGAUUACUCAUAAAAGUGUUAUUUAACCCCAAUAUAGACCUUUCAUCUCAUAUCAUAAAAACAAAAAAAAAAGUAUUGAAGUAUACUUAUCGUAUGUAUAUUUGUAAAUUUAAAAGUCCAUGGAAACAAAUUUUACUAAUUAAAGCUUUACAAAUAGAUAAAAAGAUUUAAUUUGAAGAGGAAAACAUACAUGUUAAACAACAAAAUAAGGAUUACAAAUAUCGAAUUAUUAACUUACAUUUCCUAGUAGUGCGGCGCCGCACCAUAGGAAAUUGAGCAGAAAACUACUUAUAAUAGCUUAGUAAUCUUUAAUUCCAAACGUAUAGGAUGUAAUAUAAUUCAUUGAGACCAAAAAAAAAGAAGGAAACUGUAUUUCAUACAACAGAAAAAAAAAAUUGUACAUUUACCAAAAAAAAAAGAAAAAAAAAUCAGGGUCUACAUGAUCAAUAGCCUCGAUUAAUACAUUGAUAUGUUUGUACUCCUUGUAUUACCUUUGAUAAAUAAAUUACCAGUUUCUAUGGAACACUGUGGUUGCAUUUUAUAUACCCUCCAAAAUAGUAAAACGUCCAAUUUACUACUACAAGAAAUGGAAAAUGACUAUAAUUAGAGGCUGCGUGAAUUGUCUUAAAAUGGUCAAAAUUUCUGAAGGCAGACACAGCUUCUAAAGGCCAUUCAAAAAGGUGCAACUUCGCCGGCGACGGCUACUCUGGGAUCACGGAAUCCUUGAGAUAGCCCGGCCACCUCCAAAGCAGAAUCCUAUGUGAAUUGAUCUUUCAUUGGUUUCACACCUUCGCAACGAACAAGUCAACUAAAGAACAGUUCAUGCGCUAAUGCUUACGAUCUUUGGAUGCAAUUGUAAGGAAAGAGCUAAAUUCACACUUGGGGAAUUAAAGGCGUAACUUUGCAUGCACUAAUGGUUAGAUUAUUAAUUAUCAUUAAAUUUUAUGAUAGAAUAAAUGAUGGAAAUGCAAUUAAUAUUUUGCUUUAAUUUCAGCAUUGUUCAUUCAAUGUUCUAGUUGCGAGAGCAACAGCUCCAAUAGCAAUUCCAUUUAAGCAUACACGUGGCUGUGACAAUCUUUUCAAAGUUUGAGGCCCAUUGGCAGCCAUUAUUUCUCCUGCAAGGUCCCGUGCAAGACAUUGGAGUAGUAGUAUUAAGUUACAAUAAUUGCAUGGACAUUCAGCAGAUCUGGUUCAGGGCUGAUCAAUUCCUAUUUACCAGCGCAUAAAUCGGCAUAAUUGACGUAUAUACUAAAAGAGUAAACAUGUAAAGUUUAAAUAACAUAUAGACUAGUGUAGGAAAGCAAAUGUUUUAGUCCAUCCAUGUUUUGAGAACUACUUAAUUUCCAAAUUCAAUAAAAAAAAAAAAAGUUACUUUAAAAAGGGCUCAAUGAUCUAGACUGUGAAGUAAUGCGUAACAUUGGCUCUGUUUGGCACUUAAAUUUUUUGUCAAGUUUAUUUGCUACAAAUUUUUUAAAAACUUUAGGUACAGUAACCUUAAAAAAAUUUUCAAAAUAUUCAAAAUUUACACACUUCAAAAAUUUUUUUAAAAACUUCUACAGUAAAAUUUUAUACAAACACCCAAAAAACUCACUUGCCAAACGGAGCCAUUAUUGUUGUGAAGUUAAGGACAGGUUAGUAUGCGUUUUGCUCAACUACACCGACACAUUUGUAUUUCAUUUGCAAUAUAUUUAUUAUAUACUGACUAGCAAAAAAAAAAAAAACCCUGGAUUAAGCAAUUAGCUACAAGUCACAAAGUCAACUUAAUUUUUGCAAGAUUUUUGGGAGAAUAUCAACCUUAAAGAUUCUAAGCUUGCAGUCUAAUUGGCAGGCUUUCUUGCUUUGCUAAGGUUUUCUCUUCUACAUAAAUAGCCACAACAAACAACCUAACCACACAAAGUCAGCUUAAUAUAUGCAAGUUUUUUGGGAGAAUGUUAACCUUAAUAUAUCGAGCCCGCAUGCAGAUUAAUUGGUAGACUUUUGUUGCUUUUUUAGGGUUUUCUCUUCCUUGUGCACAGCAACUACAAACAACCUAACCACCAGAUUAAGAAAGGCGUUCGUUGUCUAAGCUUUUAAGGAACAGCAGUUGAUCACCAACCAUCUCAGGGAACAGCAGUUGAAGCAUAUUUUUCUUUUGAAAUCAAUAAAAUCAUUAACGUUAGGGAUUACAACGCUCGGAUUUAGCUGGUGAAGACGGCUUUUGUGCUGAUGUGCCUAUGGGCUAUUUCGGCAGUACGUAGAAUAUAUAUAUAUAUAUAUAUAUGUAUAUAUAUUUUGGGGGCAGUAGAAUUACUGGACCGUGAAUACCUUAUUCUGUAUGUUUCAUCGCAACAACCUUAAACCCAUCAAGCAAUUUUGUGAAAGCACAUUCCCAACUAAAUAAACCAAUGAAGAGUGAUUUCAUAAUAAGAGAUGUUUUAAUGCAAUAGUGUUCCAUUUAUUCUUCAUCUCCACUAGCCGAUAGAGAAAAAGAAGAAGACUUGUUUUUCCCUUUUUUGUAUUUUUGUGGGAGAAACAAACAAUAUCAAUGCUAUUAUGGAGAUGAAGAGUAGCUGCAAAUUCUUCAGUGAGGCUUCCAAGUUAAUUUAAUAUUAUUAGGUCAAAAUCAAUAUCAUUGAUCCUAAUUACCUCAAGAAAUCUGCCAGAACGGAAGGAGCCGCCUAUGCAAAAAUUCCUACUCCAUUUGAUAGGACAACAAAACGAAUUACAGGACUUGAUUUGGACGGAAGAAUUUGAUAAAAGAUUUAAAAUCGCCCUAGUUGUUUUGAUUGCUUAAUAAGGAUUUGGGCUUGUAAUAUGUCAACCACUAAAAUAUACUUUAAAUACUAAACUAAUUGAUAAUUUAUAAAUUCAAACAUUUUCUAAAUAAUGUAAACAAUCAGCGAAAUUCGGGAGAAUUUUAAAUCUGUCGUCAAAUCCUUCAGUAUUCCACAAAUCCUUUGUACCGGAUCUAACGUAUCAUUCUAGAGGCUUGUCAAUAUAUGUUUUUUUCAUUGUUUUCUUUUGGGAGAAGUAAAAUCGAUUAUUUCAAGCGCAAAUGAUCCGUACAACUAACAUGGAUAUAUAUAAGGCUAAAAUAAGAGAGAGCGUCAGAUUAAAAGCCAACUUCUGAACUUGUGUCUAAAAGUGAUCGGCUCAAGAUGCCCGUUUUGCACCAUAAUAAAUAAUAGGGUAGUUUAUAUUUGCCUUGGUCAAUGAAAUCAGAAGUAACCCGUAUCUGGUUGAUUUAGCCAUGUGGGCAAGAGUUUUUUGUGUUAAAUUUCCAAUUCAAAUGUCGUAUGAAGAUUGACUAAUAAAAAAUUCCCAAAUGAAGUUGAUUUUUCAAGAUGGUAUGCUUGAAAAGUUCUAUAUUUAAAGUUAUAAUUUUUAAAUAGUAGACUUUAGGAACAGAUAUACAGAUCAUGAAGAAGACCAAAAUCCUAGUACAUCAAGGACACAGUAAGCACAUUAGCUAACACAAUAUAUGUAUGGUAGUUAAAGGACAACAUAUGAAACAAAGGGGAAAGUUCAAUAUGUUCAAAACGUUAGCUAGAAAGACGUGUAAAUAAAAGUCAAGAUUAAAGUGCACGAAUGAAAUUAACCCAUUAGUCCCGAAGUUUCGUUGAAUCAAGAAACCUUUGGUAAAAAGCUGUUGAAAAUUCCAAAUUAAGUAUUAAUGUACUAUUAUGGGACAAAUAAACACCACCAGAAUAUGAUAACAAAAUGGACUUUUCCUCUACUCUUUCCACUUUUCCUUUUUAGAGUUAAGAGAAGAGUAAAUAGAAAAGUGGCAAAUCUAUAAACCAUGUGAAUCCAAAGAGGAGACUGGUACUCCCUCCUCCGUUCUAGUUUGAUAGCCUUAUUUUUUUUUUUUUCAAAUUAUAGCAUACUUUCUAAUUUAAGAAUAUGAUUAACUUUUAACUUUUGUAAAAUGCCAUUGUUUAAUAUGUUUUUUUUAUCAGUGAAUAUAACCUAUCUUACAAAAUAAUUGCUUUGAUUCAUACCUUGAACAGUACAAUUUUCUUUUGAAAUUGUCGUUGUAGUUAAUGUAAAGAUAUAGUAAUUGGUCAUAUUAUUAAUAUCAAUGUAAAAAGUGUAGAUAUUUUUUCAUAAAAUUAACUACUUUUUUUUUAAAUUACAGAGAAAAGAAUUAAGAUUAUUAAAGUGGAACAGAGAAAGUACCAUAUUCAAAGAAGACUAGUAUUAUACUAGUAUAUCUCAACUUCUUGCUGGCUGGGAGUUGUCUACAAACAUUCAACUGCAUGCAAUAAGAGCAUUGAUGAGCCAAUUUAUUUUGAAACUUGGAAAAUAUAUUUUGUUCUCAGAUAUAAAUGGCUGUAAUAGAAGAUCACUUCGCAUUCAUAUUUUUCUGUAUUUCCGGUGGGUUGUUGAGGCAGCCAUCAAUGCCAUUUUCGGUUCAUGGAUUAAAUAAGCCAUCACACUUUUCCACGAGAUCUACAAAGACAGAUAAAUAUAAGUAUAUAACCCAUGACAAAAACCAAAAAAUAAAUAAAUAAAUAAAUACACUUAGCAGUAAUAAAUAAAAUAAAUAAUUCAACCCAGAAGAUAAUAAAACUCCUGGAUCCAAACAGAGCCCAAACUUGAGAGAAUUUCUAGUCAAAUGCAUUGAUCUAUCCGACAAGUCAUAGAAGAACUCUCUCUCUCUCUCUUUCUUUCUCUCUUUCACAUACAACACGCACAAACAGCAAUAAAACGCAGAAGUUUUGUCUUCCUCUGGAUAUGCAUAAAUAGGAGCCUGUACUCUGCUUACAAUCAGUUUACAAGUCAUAGUUGAUCCUUCCUCCUCUUUCUGUCCGAAAACACACACAACACACAGUCAAGAAAGAGUUUAUGGCGGAGGCAUCAGAAGCUAAUGGCAAUCAUGGGGUGGCUUUGGACGUUAAAGAUGAGGAUUUGAGUUACAGAGAUGGGAAGAAUUCAGCAUCCAAAACCGUUUCUGACACUUCUGGCUGCCUUCUCACCGUCCCUUUUAUGCAAAAGGUGAAUUAAGCCCUUCUCAAUUCCAACUUCUUCUUUCAUUUGCUCACAUGGCACAUGCCACAGUAGCUUUUGAAUUUCAAGCAGAUUCAAGAUUUUUUUCUCUUUGCUGCAAAAUUCAAAAUUUUAAAAGCAUCCCGUUUCUUUGAUCUGCUUUAACAAUUCUUAGAAUCUUAGUUCUCAAUUGUUUCUCCAAAAUAAUUGGACUAAGGUAGCAUUUGACAUUUAUCGUUUUUUUUCCCCUUGAACUUCAGUUUAUAUCAUAUCCAUCAAUUCUGCAGUUAAGACUAAUAUAUUAUGUUCAAUGUUCCUAGUAAAUUUCUUAUAAGCCUUUUUUUACCUAGACCAAGUGUUUAUUGUUCCUCCGAGAUCUUUCAAGGCAUUAAUUUUGGAAUUUACUACGAAAUAAUAUAACAUUUAUUUGGUUCUUUUUUUCUUUUAAACAGUUGAUAGCAGAGAUAGCAGGUACAUAUUUCUUGAUAUUUGCCGGUUGCGGUGCGGUGGUGAUUAAUGCAGUCAGGAACAAUACAAUUACGGCUCCAGGGAUAUCAAUUGUGUGGGGGCUGGCGGUGAUGGUGGUUGUUUACUCAGUUGGCCACAUCUCCGGUGCACAUUUAAAUCCGGCUGUGACCAUUGCUUUUGCCACCUGCAAGAGGUUCCCGUGGAAACAGGUAGUUUAAUUAACCGACUUAUGUACUGUAUCAAAUUGUUCUUCAUAUCCUCGGGCAUGACUGAAUUUUAUUAAAUAACGAAAGAUAAAUAUUUUGACUGUUGAGGAUACGAAUUGAUGAAUUUCUCUAUCCACCCCAUCUACUUGCUGUCGAAGGUGAAUCCAUUUUUUGACUUUGUACACAAAAGAAAUAUAUGGGUUAUUAAUGAUUGAAAGAAAAGUUUGCAUUAUGAUAGGUCCACCUCCCUUAUCCUUUUUCUUUUUCUUUUUCUUUAGAGUAAAAUUUAAGAAAUUUUAUAAUCACAUUUAUUCCACUUUUCAACAAAAAGAGAAUGGCAACUGGCAAGCUUUUGAGGGAAUUUUAGAGGGAUAGGGGUCAGAGAGGAAAAUUGUGAUAGAGAUUCGGUUCUAUGCAAAAUGAUAAACUACUUGCACGGAAAUUUUCAAGUAAGACCAAAACAUUGAUGCAUGGUUUUGCCCUAUUCGAGUAGUCAUUUGCUGUCAGGUCUUGUUUGCCUUUUCGAUAAUAUUUUGGUAAUGUUAGGUAUGAUUUUGUUUCCUUAGGUGCCAGCCUACAUCUCAGCGCAAGUCCUCGGAUCAAUUCUGGCGAGUGGAACCCUAAGACUGCUAUUCAAUGGGCACCAAGAUCACUUUUCGGGAACACUUCCAAAUGGAAGUGAUGUGCAAUCUCUUGUUUUGGAAUUCAUAAUCACAUUUUACCUAAUGUUCGUCAUUUCUGGAGUUGCCACGGAUAAUCGAGCUGUUAGUGCUUCUUUUUCUUGAGAUCAAACUAUUUUCUCGGUGCAUAAAAAGUUAAUCUAAUAAAUAAUAUACUAAUAACUUCAAUUAAAUUAAAAGAAGGAACGUGACAACUCAUCCGAUUUGAUUCCUCUUUAUCAUUCUAAAUUAAAUUUUAUUCUAAUGACUUGUACAUACUAGAGAUAGUUACGUGUUUUCAACAUAUAAAAGGGUCUUAUGACAGAGACCUAUUGAACUCAUCGAUGACCACUAAUGAAUGCAUCAUGUAUUUAGACAGUAGAGCCUAAUACGUGGUUUAAUUUUUUGCUAACUAAGUUUAAUUUUGGUUGGUUAAACAGAUAGGAGAACUUGCUGGUCUCGCCGUUGGAGCUACCGUUUUACUAAAUGUGAUGUUUGCGGGGUACGUUGCUGAUUAUGUGACUGAUUGAUUCUUUCUUUGGUUUGAUUAUUUGUUGCCAUUGAUUUUAAUAUACCUAAUAACAAAUCCCAUCACUGUCAACCGGUGCAUUAUUGCUUAAAGGGUUGAUUUCGAUUUUGUGCCCCAGAAGAAUUUAGUAAUUGCAUCGACUGAGUCUUUGAGAAGCAAACUUGUCGGAACUUGGCCCUCAAACAUUCAAGAUUCAUUUCAUUGGCAAUGCUCAUUCCAACUAAAGAUUGGAUGCAUAUGUCCAAAGCCUUUUGGAUUUAACUUUCCUUUGGAUUGAUCUAUUCAACGCUAACAUUGCAUAUAUUAGCUGAUUUGAAUGCAUGAUAAUUAAUCUGAAUUUUGAUUUGAAUUUAAAAUUUUAUAUGCGUAACAUGCAUAUGCUGAAAUUACUGUAUACAUUAUUAAUACAUAAAAGAUUAAUUAUUUUUUCUUUUAUCUUACAUUUUGUGCUUUUGUCUAAACACUUUUUGCAAUCUAAGGGAUUAUUAAAAAAAAAAAACUCUACCAAAAGUAUGUCAAAUUAAAAAAGUAAACUGAAAAGAUGAAUUCUUAAAAUUUAGGGGCUAGCAUUAGAUUAUCCUCUACCCAUAAGGUAAAUAUGGUCGACAUCUUGAUAUUUCGGAUUGAAACUAAACAAUCGAAUUUCCCAUAUGUUCUGGGAAGUUACUUGUGGUCAAAUAACUUAUGUUUGGAUUGUAAGUUAUUUGAGAUAUUUUUACUGUAGCAUUUUUGGUAAUGUGAUGUAUGUGAGAUAAAAAGAUAAUUGAGAAGAUAAAAAGGUGUAUUAGAAAUUGUAACGAUGAUGUAAGCAAAUAUAUUUUGCCAAAUAACUUACUAUCCAAACACACUGUCGAAUUAGGCCGAUUUCUGGUGCAUCAAUGAAUCCAGCAAGGAGUUUGGGUCCAGCAAUUGUUUCAAGCAAAUACAAAUCUUUGUGGGUAUACAUUCUGGGUCCAACUGCAGGGGCCAUAGGUGGAGCUUGGGUCUAUAAUAUCAUCCGGUUCACAGACAAGCCUUUGCGUGAAAUUACAAAGAGUGGAUCAUUCCUGAAAAACGCAGCCCGCAACAACUCUAACUGAAUAGGAAGCCUUUCUCAAUCAUCCUUCUUUUUUUUUUUUUUUGGGCUUCCCCCAGGCGCUUCUGGGUUUGAGGGGAACUCAUGUAGAAGAACAAAAGUUGUAACACUGUGUAGUGAAAUAAGAAUAUUUGCUUACAAUUUUGUUUGUGCAAAUAGGAAUUCACAAGAAAAUUGUCUCUACACAACUGAUAGUGAUGGGAAAAUUGUGCAUAUAAAUUUCAGGACAAAAAAGUGUCAUUGCUACGCAGAAUGGAUCCAAAUUUUUUUUUUCUGAAGUAUCUUGCUCCAAGAUCGAUGAAGAUGAUGACAUGACGAACAAACUGAUUGGAUGGAACCCUGAGCCAUCUGGUCAGACAAGUAGAUAGGACACCUGAUGAACUAUGAACUUGAUUGAAUUUCAGAUGGUGGAUAGGAAAAGAAUAUGAUACAUCGCUUAAAAUAAUUCGAUCGUUAUUGUUUCAGAAAACAUACAUCGUUAUUUUUUCAAAAGAUGAGUGCCAUCAUUCCCUAAAUAUAAUGAUGCAUGGCUAAAUUUAAUAACGUGUUGAAUUUUCAAUUACAAAAUCCUAUUUUAAGCGAUAUAAUGAGAGUUAUACGACAGACAUGAACUAAAUGGCAGUCCACCUGGCAUUGCCGAUGUUUGUAUUUAUCAUUUAGACAUGUCAUGUUUUUUAGGUGAAUUCUUUUUAGUCAUGGGCGUUCAUUAUUACAUUUAGGAAUAAAGAUAUGAAAAAUUAUUUGACAAAAAAAUAAAGAUAUGAAAAUUUUCAAUUAGAGGCCAUACGCUAUGAUAUUCAGGCAGAUAUCAGUUUUGAUAUCUUCAAAACUUGUUGCUAUGUAGCUUGGAAGACUUUUUUAGGUCUUUAGGGAUACCCAGCAAUUGCCUGCGUUGUAAAGCAUAUUUAAAAUUCACAACUUAAUCAAAAUAGUGACUGAUCACAUGCUUUGCCCACUAGUUAUACCAAAUUUCAGGUUGAAAGGAACUUGAUAAACGGCAAAUUAAUACAUAUGUCACGUAAGCUAUAUGAUGUUAAUUUUUUUUUUUUUUUAAUUUGAAAAGAAGAAAGAAUAGAGAGAGGCUAGGGCAAGUAGUAUGAAUCUGAAAUACUGAGGUCAUCAUAGGAGAUUUAUAUAACUUAACAACUUGCAUAGAAGCAUUUGAAAAAGCAUAAGGAAUUGCAAAAGAAAGUAAUGUGCACAUUCUUGAACUGUUUUUAAUUAAGUAAUUGUUUGAUUAAAUUUCUCCCCAGGUAAUGUAGGUUUUAGUAAGUGGUUUGAUCCACUAAGUUUCCGGCUCAUUUUUGUCGAAGGGUUCUAAUUAAAUUUGGGAACUCAGUUGCUUGGUGUUUACAGAAUGCACAACGAGAAUGCUGAGUGUUCAAUGAAGUAGUUGGCGGCGGGAAAUGCUUUGCUUAUUCUGGCACUUUUUACGGACUUAUGAUUGAAACCCAGGAUAGCGAGGGCACAUAUCGUGAUAAAUUCCUGGUUGUUGAAGCCAUAACUGGUCUCAAGAAACUCAUCUGCAACAAGCAUUAAUCAAGUGCUACUCUUCAUCUAAGGAUGAUUAAUGUAUUCUGAUAAGUAAUUAUCUGGUUUUAUGUAUGUUAAAUUUCUAUUAACUAAUUGUAUGCAGGAUCGAUUCUCUGUUGUUUGCAAGUAAAUUGCUCUGCUCAUGCAUGAUUAAUUAUAAAGUCAUCAUAAACAAAAUCUUACUUUGAAUCCAGUCCCUAAAAGCAAGAAAAGGCUUUCGAAACCCAUAUUUGUCAGGUCGAGUUAUAUCUUAGUUUCUUUCAAAUCACUAGCAACACCCAACAUAUGCAAACAUAGUGAAUCAUUUACACGAGGGAAAGUUUUAGAUUCAAAAGCACAUUAUAUAUAUGCUUUUAAAAAAAAUAAUAGUAGAUCCCCUAAUUGGGGAAGUUGUAGUCUUGGCCGCCCUUUUUUCUUCUGAUUAUACUUUUUAUCCCGACUAUUUGAAUUUUUAUGUAAACGACGAAGGAAAAAUGCAACUCAAAAGUAUGCGAUCAUACGGAUGUUCUGAUGAGCGCAAUGAAGAAGGUUUUUUUGCAGUAAUUUGCUUGCCGCCAAUCAUAACUGGUAUCCAAAAUGAAAAGCCAAGUAGUUUCGACAGAUAGAAAAUUCUUAUUAAGCUAUCUCAGGGAGAAUAUGUUGCAGUUGAACAUCUGGAAAAAAUUUAUUGUGUUUCACCAACUAUUGAAGAUGCAAGUCUCAAAUUUCUGGUUCAUAUAAUCAGAUUAUUCUCAUAUUGAUUAUAUCAGCUCAGCUACCAUGUUGAGCCUGUGUUUGGUAAUACUCUGUUAGAACUGGGUCUAUGGGGAUAGCUUUAAGUCAAUGCUGAUUGUUGUUGUGGUACCAAAUGAGGAGAGCACGGUAAAAUGGGCACAGAAAAUUGACUAUUGAGAUCCCUUUUCUGGAUUAUGUUCCCUUAACCAGCUGCAAGACCAUAUCCUCCAGGAGCUGAAGUCCACGGCGGAGAGAAACAAGCUCAUUUUUCAUUUUCUGCAAACCUUGAAAUGUUGUAGAAUAUCUCAUCAUCAUUGCCUUAUCCUAGAUGACCAUCUAAUGGCUGUAGAAUAUUGUUUGUUAAACAUAAAUAAAGUGUGGCAUCCUUUUCAACUUCUGAUGUUAUACACCUUUUCAGCUGAGGGGCUUUGUGCAUAUCAAAGAAAUCAUUCUGCAACCUUACAAAAUGCAAAUGUUACCUUCCCUUGGUAGAGAUAGAGAAAAUUGAUUGAUGUUUUCCUUUUCUUUUUUUUUUUUUUCACCUAAUAGGACAGGAGUGAGAUUUAAGAAGCGAGAAGAGAAAAGGGAGAUUAGAUGCUAGAACAUCAAAUUCCUACUUGUGAAAUGGAUUGAUAUUUUCCUUCCCACUACUUGGGAAAUAAGAAGUUAUCUGUCUGAAUAUCUUAGUGUAUGUGCAUAAUUGAAAAUUUUCAUGUUUUUUUCUUUUUAUGUCAAAUAACGUUUCAUAAAAAAAAUGACGUUUCAUAUCUUCAUGACCAAAUAUAUGCCUACAUAUAAUAAUGGAUGUGCAUGAUUGAAAAUUCAACAUGUUAUUAUAUUUAGGCAUACAUCAUUAUAUUUAGGUAAUGAUGGUAGUUAUUUUUGCAGGUAAGUUGUGAGCAGUUGUGACCUAAUGAGAUGAGAGUUAUGUUUUAAACCUAAUACGACUUUUCUAAAACACUAACUAUCAAAUUAUGUUAAGCUAUGUAUCAUAUCAUUUUUCUAUCUACUUGUGUAAAAUUCAAUCGUUCAUCAUGUGUUAUAUCUAUUUGUCUGAUAAGAUGGUUCAUGUUUCUAUUUAUUUAGAUUUUUUAACAUCUCGUCAUCUUCAUUCAUCUUUGCACAAAAUUGAAAGCAUAUAAUCUUAUAUUACUAUAGAAUGUUGCAAAUUUUGUUCUUGUACAUGAGAACCCCUCAAACACACAACCCCCCCCCCCCCCCUCCGCCCAAAAAAAAGGAAAAAAGAAAAGAAAAGAAAAGAAAAGAAAAGAAGGAUGAUUGAGUAAGGCUUUACAUUUCAGUUAGAGUUGACGCGGGCUGAGUCUUUUAGGAAUGAUCCACUCUUUAAAGCUCACGCGAAGGCUUGUCUGUGAAUCGGAUGAUAUUAUAAACCCAAGCUCCAGAUAUGGCCCCUGCAGUGGGGCCCAGAAUGUAUACCCACAAAGAUUUGUAAUUGCUUGACACAAUUGCUGGGCCCAACCUCCCCGCUGGACUCAUUGACCCACCAGAAAUCGGCCUGAUUCAUCAAGACAUUAAUACAAGUGUGCUUGAUCAGAAGCUUCGGCAUCAGACAGUAACUUCUUCGGAAUAUAUGGGAAAUACGAGGGUACAACUUCAAAUGUUCUAGGCUCUCUAAUCUGUUGGUAGAGGAAAUUUUUUUUUUUUUUCUAAUCGUUUGGAUUGCAAAAAGUGUUUCUACAAAAUGUACUACGAAUGAAAAAAUAUUAGUCCUUUAUCCAUUGACAGUAUACAAAUUAGUUUCAGAUGAUACAGGUUACACGUGUAAAAUUUUAAAUUAUAAUUUAAAUUAAGAUUAAUUGUCAUGUAUUUAUUUAGACCAAAAAAUGUAUGCUAUAUUGGCAUAGAGUAGAGUAAUCGAGAGAAAAGCUGAAAAGACUUUGGACAUAUGCAUCAGAUCUUUAGUUGGAGUGCGCAUGCUGAUGAAAUGAAUCUUGAAUGUUAAGAGGGUCAACAAGUUUGCAAUUGCAAAAUUCAAAAUCAACCCUUUUAAGCACUAAUGCAUUGGCAUAUUAAAAUCAAUGGCAACAAAUAAUCAAACCAAAGAGUGAAUUAAUUAAUCAGCACGUACCCGGCAAUCAUCACAUUCACUAUAACGGUAGCUCCAACGGCGAGACCGGCGAGUUCUCCAAUCUGUUUAAGCAACCAAAACUAAAAUAAGUUAGCAAAGAAUUAAACCCGUUGGUUAGGCUCCGCUAUCUAAAUGUAUGAUGUAUUAGUAGUCAUUAAUGAGUUCAAUAUGUCUGUGUCACAAGGCCUUUAUUAAUGAAAACACGUAAUUAUCUUUAGCAUGUACAAGUCAUUAGAAUAAAAUUUAAUUUAAAAUGAUAGAGAAGAAUCAAAUUGGAUGAGUUGUCUUGUAGCUACCUGAAAUCCCCAGUCAAAUCUAUGUGUUCCUUCUUCCAACUUAAUCAAAAUCAUAAGUAUAUUACUCGUUAGAUUAGUUGGCUUUUUAUGCACUGAGAAAAUAGUCGAGUCAAGGAAAAGAAGUACUGACAGCUCGAUUAUCUGUGGCAACUCCACAAAUGACGAACAUUAGGUAGAAUGUGAUUAUGAAUUCCAAAGCUAGAGAUUGCACGUCACUUCCAUGGGGGAGUGGCCCUGCAAAGUGAUCUUGGAAUAGUAAUCUUAGAGUUCCACUUGCCAGAGUUGAUCCAAGGACUUGGGCUGAGAUGUAGGCUGGUACCUAAGCAAAGAAAAUCAUACCUAACGUUUACCAAAAUGUGAUUAACAAGACAAAGAGGAAGGGGUUCACCGAUUUUUGUAGGGAAACAACAUCUUAUGGCAAAUAGAGCUCAACUAUACAUACAUUAACCCACAAUUUCUUGUGUGGACAAAGUCAGAAAGGGUUUUCACCUUCAACAGCAAGUAGCUAGAUGGGAUGGAUAGAGAAGUUCAUCAAUUCAUUGGCUCAACAGUCAAAAUUUUUUCUUUUUCUUUUUUUUUUUCUUAUUUAAAAAAAAUUCAGUCAUGGCUGAGGAUAUUAAGGAUAAUUUGUUUGAUAGAGUACAUAAAUUACACUACCUGUUUCCAUGGGAACCUUUUGCAGGUGGCAAAAGCAAUGGUUAUAGCCGGGUUUAAAUGUGCACCGGAGAUGUGGCCAACUGAGUACACAACCACCAUCGCCGCCAGCCCCCACACAACUGAUGUCCCCGGAAACGUAAUUAUAUUGUCCCUUGCAGCAUUAAUCACCACCGAACCGACGCCGGCAAAUAUCAAGUAAUAUGUACCUGCUAUCUCUGCUACCAGCUGUUAUACCAAAUGAAAAAAAGAAUGAAUUAAGUAUUUCAUAGUAAAGAUCUUGGAACAAUUUGGUCUAGGUACAAAACGUUACCACGAAAUUUACUUGGAGCAUUAAACGUAAUAUAUUAAUCUUAACUGCGGUAUUGAUGGAUAUGAUGUAAACUGAAAUUCAAAAGAAGAAAAUGCUCAUGCUUAACUAAUCCAAUUAUUUUGGAAAAACAAUUGAGAAAAAUGAUUAUAAGAAAUGAAAAUCAAACUUGAGAAAUGGGAUGCCUUUAAAAAUUUGAAAUUUGUCGCAAAAAAAAAAAAAAAGAGAAAAGGAAAAACUUCCUUGAAUUUGAUAGAAAAUGAGUAGCCGUUUUGGCAUGUGAAUGAAUGAGGGAAGAAUUGAAGCUGGAAUUUGCGAGAGAUUAAUGUAUAAUUCACCUUUUGCAUAAAAGGGACGGUGAAAAGGAAGCCGGAAGUAUCAGAAAUGGUUUUGGAUUCGGCGUUCUUCACAUCUUUGUGACUCAAAUCCUCAUCUUUAACGUCCAAAGCCACCCCGUGAUUGCCAUUAGCUCCUGAUGCCUCAGCCAUAAACUAGUUACUUUUGAUUUCAGUGGUAAAGGAGAAUAUUUUAGUAUAUAUUAUCGUGCAAUGCAGGCAUUUUGAUCCUCCAUUUAAAUUGAAAGGAUCCAAUUGUCUUUUAUGUGCUGUUCGGUUUCAGACAUCAAUUCAGAAGUUUGCUUUUAACCUGACAAUCUAUAUAUAUUAGUUGUACGAUUCAAUGGUGCAUGAAAUAAUGGGUUUUAACUUCUCCCAGAAGAAAACAGACUGUGAAAAAACUUAUAGACAAAGACUCCAGAAUCAUGCCUGAGAGAUCCGGUAUAAAUGCAUUGUAAAGUAACCAGUGUUGCAUAGGCGGCUCCUUCCAUCCUGGCAGAUUUCUUGAGGUAAUUAGGAUCAAUGAUAUUGAUUUUGACCUAAUAAUAUUAAAUUAACUUGGAAGCCUCACUCGAGAAUUUUCAGCUAAUCUUCAUCUCCAUAAUAGCAUUGUUUGUUUCUCCCACAAAAAUACAAAAAAGGGAAAAACAAGUCUUCUUCUUCUUCCCUUCUUCUUCUCUAUCGGCUAGUGGGGAUAAAGAACAAAUGGAACAAAAAUGUUGUUUUGUCCUUGCAUUAAAACAGCAAUGACUAUCUCUUAUAAUGAAAUAACUCUUCUUUGGUUUAUUUAGUUGGGAAUAUGCUUUCACAAAAUUGCUUGAUGGGUUUAAGGUUGUUUUGAUGAUACAUACAGAAUAAGGGAUUCACGAUUGUUAUUCUGCUGCCGAAAUGUCCAUAAUAAGAACAACAAUAAAGCCGUCUUCGUAAGCUUGUAUUCGAGGGCUGCAGUCACUUAAAAGCCUAGGUUAAUAAUCUGAUUGAUUUCAACAGAAAAGCAUGCUUCAAUUCAUAAUCGAACUUGGAUUUUUUUUUUUUUUUUGGAUAAAAUACUGCACACUUUUAUUAAUAAAAACUGUACUAAUAGCAGAAAUUACAUUAGACAUAUGCAUAUUUAUAUAUGAUGGAUCUAACAAAAUAACACAAAAUAUAGAUCUCGAAAAUUAAUAAAAAAUUUCACGGUAAAACUCUAAACAUAUACUAUAAAUAUCAAAUAAAACAAUGUAAUCCCGAAAACAUCCAUGAAUGUUUCUAAUCGCCAAAUCUGCUAAUGAACAUAUUGAUAACAUCAAUUUUAGUUGUCUCCCUCCCCAAUCUAACGAGGCAAAUAGGUACUGGAAUAUUUAAAUUCUUGUAAUCAAUCAAAUAUUUAGAAGUCCCAAAAGUAUAUUAAUUCCACUUAGUGUUGUUGUAAUCCCAAUUAUGCUGGCUUUUUAACAGAGUGUAAAUUAACCAAUUGUGCUCUUUCUUAAUCUGUUAGUCAGUUAGCUAUAUAUAUACAUAUAUAUUCUUAAUGGCUUUUCCAAUUGAAAUUGCAGCUGCAGGUACUACGACACCUGCCUUGAGCAGAAUACGAGAUGGCUACUAUGAAAUAAAGCGUUGAAUUUUCAAUUAUGCGUAUACAUUAUCAUAUUUAGGCAUGAAGGCAUGAAACUUUUACAUGACAUAAAAAGGAAGAAAGAGACAUGAAAUGUUUCAAUUAUGGGCAUACACUAUGAUAUAUAGGUAGAUAAAAGUUUUAACUUCCUAUUUCACAAGUAGCGGCAACUGGCAAGGAAAAAUAUCAAUCCAUUUCACAAAUAGGUCAUAGAGAUUCCGGGUUCUAAUCCCUCUUUCCCAUCCCUACUUCUUAAAUUCCAUAUUUUCCUUAAUUGAAAAAAAAAAGGGAAAAUAUCAAUCCAUUUUCUCUAUCUCUACCAAAAGAAGGUAACAUUUGCAUUUUGCAAGGUUGUUAUACCAAUAGCAGUCUUAUUUAUUUUUUACCCUCCCACCCUUUUUUUCAUACGUUUCCAUCCCUCAACUACCAGACAUGCGAUUCAAAUCCUGAACAUUGCUUCAAAACAUUGUUAUAUCAAUAGCAGUCAUUCACUCAUCUGUAAUAUGCAUCAAGCAUUCCACAGAAAAUGCUCAAACUACAUACAAGUCAAGAACAUUGCUCCUGCUCUAACAGCAUGCAAGCUACCUAUUGCAAACUCCAAGGAAUGUAAUGCCACAAAGCGCAAUGGACUAUCUUUUAACAGCAGCGAGUUUCUUAUACAGGUCCUCAAUUCCCCCCUACAAACAAAAAUAAAUGAGGAAAAAAAAAAAACAAUAGCAUCAUUGCAGGUUUUUUUCCCACUUCUAAGAAUGUUGAGUGGUUGGUUUAGGAAGAAACACAUGGAAGCAAGCAAAACAAGGAGGAGCGGAGUUAGGUUACCUUGUAGUGCUUAAGUAACUGAUCUCUUUUCUUCUUCAAAGUUGGAGUCACCAAAUCUUUUUGCAGCUCAAAAGGUUGGGGUUCCAGAAUGAUUCCUUUGAUAUGCUCAAAGCCUCUCAGCUGAAAUUGUAUAAGAUCAGAAGUUGAAAAAGAUGCUAUACUUCAUUUAUGUUCAACAAACAAUAUCAUAUAACCAUCAGAUACUAGAUAGUCAUCUAGGAUGAGGCAAUGAGAGAUAUCCUACAACGUUUUGAGUUUUCCAAAGUAAACUGAGCAGGAUGAUGUUUACAGUCAAAUUGAAGUAGAGAAGAAAUUGAGUAAUAAAAUUAAACACGUUGGUUAUUGAUCAGAAGGGCAUCCUCUUUCAAACCAAAACAGAUUAUUUAUCCGCUUUCAGAUGCUUAACAAGUGUUGAAGUUGUUUGACAUUAAAUUCAUUCUCUAAGACACUAGACUAACACCAGUAGAUAGUUCUAGGCUAAAAUUCCAGGAAUAUAAAACCAAAAUAUGGUGGUGUGGGAAUUGUUUAACUUUUCAAGGUUUGCAGAAAAUGAAAAAUGACCUUGUUUCUCUGUGCUGUGGACUUAAGCUCCUGAAGGAUAUGGUCUUGCAGCUGGUUAAGGGAACAUAAUCCAGAAAAGGAAUCUCGAUAGCCAAUUUCCCGUGCCCAUUUUACCGUGUUCUCCUCAUUUGGUACAACAACAGCAAUCAGCAUUGACUUGAAGCUAUCCCCAUAGACCCAGAUCUAACAGAGAAUUAUCAAACACAGGCUCAACAUGGUAGCUGGGCAGAUAUAAUACGAAUAUAAUCUGAUUAUAUGAACCAGAAAUUUGAUCCUUACAUCUUCAAUUGUUGGCGAAACACAAUAGACUUUUUCCAGAUAUUCAACUGCAAUGUAUUCUCCCUGAGAUAGCUUAAUUAGAUUUUUCUUUCUAUCGAUAAUUCUUAUAGCGCCAUUUUCUGACAUCUCCCCUAUGUCACCUGAUUGCAUCAGAGGAUGAAAUGAAUAAGAAAAACAUACAGUUCAACAACUUUCUAGUAGAAAAAAGAAAAGAAAAGAAAAGAAUCACCUGUGUAGAACCACCCAUCUUUUAUAGUUUCUCUUGUUAAUUCUGGGUUCUUGUAGUAUCCCGCAAAAACCAUCUUCCCUCUGACACAAAUCUCACCACGAGGACGAUCUCCAAGUGGAUGGUAGCCCAUUUCUGGAACUUCCUCCAGGCGCACUUCAUUAUAUACGAAUGCAGAACCAACUGUUCCGAUCAAGCACAUUUCGUCGGGAAAGCCAACAGCGGCCAAUCCACUGGUCUCUGUUAAGCCUGGAUAAACAAAUUGCAGUCUCUCUGACUGGGAUAUAUAAACAUUUAGAUACAAAAGUGAAUUCACUGCAUGAUCCUGGAAAAUUUAAAACAAUUUCAUGCCAUGAACUUAAUAUAUCCAUUGGCAAGUUUCAAGGAUAUAUAUCAGAAAUGUACAAAAGUCAUCGGGAAGAGUACAUGCACAUUUUAGUUACAUCAAAUUCUGGCAGCUAGACAAAGUUUAGUUCUCCAAUAUCAUGUAAAAUAUCUUCCCUGCAAAUUAAUUAUAUUUGCAACAACUUGAACCAUGCCUUCCCAGUGAAUUUCAUAAUGGAUUGCCAAUCUCCAACAAUAAAUGUGUCAGGGUUGUCAAGGAGUAGCACACCCUAAACUUCUAUCUGUGGCAACUCAAUAUCUAAAAAAAUAUUUUCUUGUUUGACCCAAUUGGUCAUUCAAUCUUCAUUCUCGGACUGAAACACUGCAAUUAAACAUUUGUACUUCAAGAUUAAUGCCACCACUAUCUAGACUGAGAUUGGGGAAUCAUGUGCUGCUAUUUUGAGGAUGCAUCUAGAACUAUUUAUUUACUCAUUUGAGGAUAAACCAGUGAGCAAUAGAAACCAAAGAUGAUUGAAUCAGCUUGAAAAGUUAAAAAAGCAGUUGAAUCAAGCCCUACUCAUCAGCCGGAAAGAAUUUUACCUUCAUAAAAUAUAUAGUGUUGAUAGUUGUUACUUUAAGUUAACACUGUAUUAGUACUAUGGAAGAGAUGGUCCCUAUUAAUCAUAAGUUGAAUACCAUAGCCUUGCAAAACAAAAGCACACGAGGUAACCCGCAAGAAUUCUUCCACCUCACUGCUUAGAGGUGCACCACCAGAAAUUAUUAGGCGAACCCUGCCACCUAACCUGGCCUUGACCUAAUUACCAAAACGAAGAAAGAUAAGUCAAUUGAUCACAUUCUUUUUGCUUGACCAUGAAAAGAAGUUGUCUUUAUGAUUGGAAGCCAUUUCGAAGAUACUUAAUAGCACAGUAAAUCAACAAAUUUUGCCCAACAAUCAUAUUAAGGAUCAAGCAGAUAUCAGUACCAUGGGAUAAAAGGCUUAAGAUACAACUUUUUAGUGUCUGCCUCAUGCAGAAUCUAGUAAAAUAUGGAAGCGAUAGAUCUUUUUGUAACAUUCUAAUUUCCCUUUUUUCUAUUAUUUAUACAAUCAGCUUGAUUAAUGCUAACUAUACUAUUCAAAAGACAUGACACCCAGGAUUCUUUAGCCAAAAAAAAAAAAGAUAAAAAAAUGGAAGUCAUGAAUAAAAGUACAUCUACUACCUUCCUAAAAGCCAGAAGAUCUGCUAUUGGAAAUGCAUCUUUCUGUUUGUAGCCUAGUUUCAUCCACUUAAGCUUGCUGAGACGAGGCAGAAAAUCAAUUUGCAUUCAGCGUAAAAAACGUUACAGGGAGAAGUAUGACCAAAAUGACCACUUAAUGAAGAACAAGGAACGACAACUAAUGAAAAUAUUUACUAGUUGUAAAGCAUGCCAAAAAUUUUCCUCCUCACUGGAUUGAGUUCUUCAAGUGCUUUUAGAACCCCUGCAAGAGAGGCCACAGCAUUUGCUAGUUAAAAAUGUUUGAGAAAAUAUGCAUAGAUGAUCAAUGACUAGCAAAAUUUCCUUACCUUCACGCACUCUUUCAAAAACUCGAGGUACUCCGGCGAGAAAAGUUGGCUUCAACUCCAUUAAAUCAUCCUGUAGCUCACUGAUAUCCUUGAUGAUGCACAAGCAGUAGCAUUAGCUAUUCGUAAAUCAUCCUUAGACUACAUAAAUUUGAGAGCUACACCUUAGUAUUUGCUUAUGAAAAAGCUUGUAUUGAUUAGAUGUGAAAUGAACUUAAUAACAUCAUAAUCUUCAACAUACGGAAUCGACACAAAACCAAAGGAUUACCAUUUUUUGUUAAUUAAAUGCUCUAUUUUCAUUUUUUGCACUAGAGUCACCAUUAAACCUUGCGUUUCAGAUCCUUCGUAUACCUUUUCUUUACAUUUUCUAGUCAAACCAUAUCAUUUACUUGAGCAAGAAAAUUAAAAGUAAAAGCAGAUGAUGGCACUAUGCUGUGCUAUAGAUUGAAGUCUUACCCCAUGAAAGUAACCAACAGCAGCACCCUUGUGGAAAAAGUAUUCCUCAAUCAUACGAUCAAGGAUGUGAGCAAGAGGGAGGAAAGAUAUGUACACAUCAUUCACUGUCAUCUGGUCACAUAUUUUCACUUGAAGUAAUUAAUACAGGCUCAGAAAAGGGGAAGAUACGAAUCAAUAAUAAAUGGAAAAAAGAUUUAGACACAAAUAUUCAUAUAUCUGGAUCAUGCACAACCUGGAAGAGCAAACAGGUAGAUUUUGUGAAGCAAAACAUCCAGGCGAUUUGAAGGUGAAAUCAUACAGUGUUCAAGAAGUAGAAGAUUUCAUAUAAUAAGCAUGAAUACGUGUUUGAUCUGCUAAACAGAUGCUACAUACCUUAUCUUCAAAUUGUUCCAUGAAAAUAUCAACUCCUCUGAUGCAUGUUGAAAUGUUUUCAUGAGUCAAUAUAACACCUUUUGGACUUCCACUGGUUCCACUAGUGUACAUUAUUGUACAGAUAUUAAAUGGCUGUGGUGGCAAGACCUCUGAGGGGUUGUCUUUUCCCUAAUAAAACAGGGUAACAAAUCAAUUAGGAGGUGGAACUAUGUAUAUCAACACUACUCAUACAUGCAUGGCAACUGAAGAACAGAUCCAGAGUGCAUAAAGUACCUUGAAAGCCUAAGAGGACAUGUCUAAGUUUUAAAGACCGGGAAAAAUUAUUGCACUGGGAACUGAAACACGAGUGACUCAAGACCACCCCGCCAUAAUAAUGGCUUGAAACACUGGGAAACUGAAACACGAGUUACUCAAAGACAGCAACAAAAACAGCUUCACUUCUACAAAUUUUACACUUGAAUCAUUUGAACACAUUCAAAAUGCUCAGAAGAAUAUCAUUCCAAUAAUGCACUAUAUUCAUAACUAAUCCGCUACUACAUAGCGACACAACAAGAACUUUAAGCACAGAAGGGCCAAAAGGCCAUGUGUUGCUUUAACUGCUUAAGUGAAAUAAUUUAGGCAAAGUAUGUAUUAUCAAACUGUGUUAGUUAUACACGCUUAAGAUUCUAAAUCAUGUGAGGAAACAAUGUGGUAAACAAAAAGUCCUACCUGAAUAUCUUAAGGUCACCUACUUGACCAAUUGGAGAAAGUCUGACAAAGUACGAGGGGAGAUCAAAAGUAUGGUUAAGUCCCUCCUUAAAAGCCUAAUAAUGUUGAUAACCAGAUGUCAACAAACAGAACACUUUGGAGAUUUUCCUUGAAAAUUCAAUACAAUCUGAAACAAACUUGACAAAUUAUGCCGAUGUAUAACUAAACGAAUAAUGCUAACAGCUUAGAAUAAAGGAUGCAGCUAGUGUAUGUGGUUGGUGCACAGAACAUUUCGCAGAUGCAGGCCAGAAGAAAGAGUGAGAAGAAAAUAUGACAUUUGCUUUCUGAAGUAAUGGCCUAGGAAACUUACAUUGAUGAUAGAAAGAAAAAAGCGUAAAAGAGUAAGAGACAUACCAUAUAAAGAAAAUCGUUCCAAGAAUAUGAUUUCACUCCAAUGGAGGCUGCUCUGUUCUUCUCUUCCUCUGUCAAUGAUGUGAAGCAAAUUAUCACUGCAACAAGGAAUGAAGCAAAUAUAAGUGUCGUGCGACAACAAGGAUUGAAGCAUCACUUGAGAAAAUGCAUUCCAAUUGCACAGCAAGAAUUUAAAGGCAGACUCACACUUCAGUUGUCGAGCAUGUUUGCAAUCAGAACUCAAAAGCUGCAAGGGUAAAACAGAAACAUUUGAUUUGUUUUUAUUAGUUACUUAAAAUAAGUUAAAUUUAUGACAGAAAUUAAAAAAGGUCAAGUUUUAUAAGCUUUUUACUUCUUUCACUUUCUUAUCCUGUAUGAAAACAAAUUCAAUUCCUGCAUGAUCUAUUAUAAAAUCAACAGCUCCUGGUCCUGCCCGGCCAAAAAGAGAAGUCAAAAGAACACGUUAGCAGUUAUGAGCUCAAAUAUCUAAAAAAUUGACAAACUAUACAUGCUUCUCAACUCAGUUCUAUUGCCUUGCAUGAUAUAGGAUGAAAAAAAAGAAAUAGCUAGUAGAAUGCCACGCGAAUUUAACUGAAAAUUCUACUAACACCAAGAAAUCAUAUUCAUGCAUGCUCAUUCUCUUUCGUGUCUCUCAGCUUGUCUGACAAACCAGGAGCAAUUGUUAUUGAACUUUGAAAGUACGGAGAGAACUCCUCAAAGUCCAUUUUCUGAAGCCUUUUUUAGUAUAUAGGUUAAAAAGAUCGAUUUUAGUGGCAUCACAUACACUGUAACUUUACAAACAUAUAUAAAUAAUCUUUCAAAUAGUUACUUUGUAUCAUUUGGGAUUUUGAAAAUUCACAACAAUAUCUACCAAUCAGGGUACAAAUACCUAUAGGUAGGUAUGGCCACGGUUCCAGAACCGCCGGUUCUGGUUCUUCAAAGAUAUAGAACCAGAACCGCAUAGUUCUGAUUUCGGUUCCUUAUGGUUCUGGUUCUGGUUCCGUAUAGUUGUAUACAAUUUUAUUUAAUUCUUUAUCCCUACUAAUUUUAAUACGAAUAUAACAAUAUAUUUAAAAUUUCAAAUAUAAUGUACAAAAAUAAAUACAAAAUAAAGAUCAUAUUUUAAUUUUAUUAUUAUUCUACAAAGUAAGAAGUAAUAAAUAGACAAUACAAAUUUUAUGAAAAGUACAUUAUAUUGUCAAAUUAAAAAAUAUAUUACACUAUCAAAUGGUUGUCAUGUAUUGACUCUCUUGAGUUGGACAAUCAUCAAUGUUGAAGAUUUCAUUUGAAGAAAUAUUGCAAAAAAUAUUUUUUUGCUUGCUUGAUUUUGAAGAUGAGCUACUACCAUCAAAACUUGCCAUUUUUUGAUAGCAAAUAAGCAAAAAAAAAAAAUUGUAAGUAAUAAUUUAAUACUUACAAAUUAUAAUGAUAGAUAUUAGACGAAUAGAAAUAAUUAAAUAAUUAGUAAAAUAUAUAGAAAGUCCAUAAAAUUUAACCUUUCUUAAAACCUAUUAAACACAACUAACUUUUUUGAAUUAUCUCACUACUUAUAUUAAUUAUUUUUAAACCAGCUGUUCUGGUUCUGGUUCUAUUUUUUAGAGAACCAGAACUGAACCUUUAUCCAAAGUUCUGCCAAGGUUCUGGUUCCAUAGUUCUGGUUCCGGUUCUAGUCCGGUUCCAAAUGGAACUGACAGGUGCCGAACCUGUGCAAUAAUAAAUACCUACUCGAGAAAAAUACAGAUUUUGUAUAUAGCGGUGAGUAGGGUCGAAUCCACAGGGACUGGGGAUAAUUCGUUUCUUUUAGAGUCCAAAGUAUGGGGGGUUUUGGAUUGAAUGCUAACUAAAUAAAUUAACUGCAGAAAAUAAUUAAUUAAAAGAGAUAAUUGGAGAAACUCUAGCCAAGGGUACACUUCAGAAAUGGUUCAUGCACUGAUCAUUGAUUCACAGAUAAUUCCACAUUUAUUAAUAGACCAGUUAUAGUUGUCAUGCACGCGAUAAACAACCAACCUUUCCUUAAUUUCUCGAUAGUUAAGGUACGACCGUUAACUAUUUCUCUAACCCAAAAACAACCCUAGGUACGACCAUAGGAUUUAAUUUCUAGAUUGCAUUAAUAAUUAGAAAGGCCCAAUCCUAACUAACAAACACGCUACGAGGGUUCGUUUAAGUUAGAUCGUAUGCUCCCCUGACAUAAACCCAAUUACGCCAGUUGCUACUGAGAUAAAGAUAACGAACAAUUACGGAUUCAAUUAUCCUUAUUUAGCAAAAUAGCCUAUGUGAAUAAUUAAAUAUUGCGCAUCUAUUCAAUCACUCACACGAGCUAUAACGGUUAAAAGCAGGAAACAUAUAAAUACCAAUAAAUUAAGGAAGCAAUUAAAAUAAAAUAGAUCUCACAGUAAUUGUUGAACCAAAUCUUCAGUUGUCCCCUUGACUAGAAAAACUUAGCUACGCCCCAUGAGAAAAUCUUCCCGUUGGGGAAUAUUGUCGAAUACCUGGCGUGUAUCAGAUGCCAGUCAAAAGAAAUAAAACUAGAACUAAACUAAAAAACUAAAAACUAGAGCUGUCUAAAAGGAUCCCCCCUUUUGCUUCUGUACGUCUCCCCUUAAAAAGCCAAAAGAAAGAAACCUAAAAGCUAUUUCCUGUGGUCCCCACACAUGUGGACAAAGCCUCCAAAUUACUUCUUGGUCCAAGUCUCUCUCCGUUGCUUUCUUUGAAAGGCCCAAAUGACUAAAUGCCUUUCACUAGCUUGUGGUCCCCACACAAUUCAAGAGUCCAAGGUCCUUAGAAGUCUCCAUUUUCCCAUAGAAGUCCCCCCUUUUUGGUAAUUUUCUGCUUUGUUCCUGAAAUUAAGUCCCAAUACCAAAUAUAAGUAAAUAUUAAUAAUUAAAACAAUAUUUGGUAAGAAUAAAAGGGGAAAUUAACAAUAAAAUUACUAACAAUUAACAACCUAUCAAUUCCCCCCACACCUAAACCAUGCUUGUCCUCAAGCAUGAGAACAGUAAACAAGCACCGAUAUUUGAUAGUGGCUAUUGCUCUAUCCAACAAAUUGCCAAGAUACCAAGAAAAACAAUAAUCAAGCAUCAAUGGUCAAGUCCAAGAAUCAUCACUCCGGUUAGCUUCUAAACCACAAACUUCUCUAAUUUCAGGUUAACUAAUCUAAGAAAAAGGAAUAACGCAUAACAUUUAUCAGCAAAUGGUCCAACUAUUAACCAAAAUCUCAACAUUAAAUCCAUAAUUCGGCAAGCUGACUAACACAACCUUCACUUUUUUUUAGCACAUUUUUCUACUUUUUUUUUUUUGUUUUGAUUGAUUUUUUUUCUCUUUUUUUUUUUUGUUUUUUUUUUUUCUUUUUUUUUUUUUUUCAAUAGUAACAAAAGACUUAGUCGCUAGCCAUUUAAGCCUUUUGACGCGAACUCCAACAUUGGCAAGAUGAAAGAGCCCGGUUACUCAGCUUCUAUCGCCACGUGACCACGUACUCAUAGGAAUUACUACCUUUUGACGCGAGAAUCAACACUUUUAGGUGCAGAUCCCCGGUUACUCAGUAGUAACUAAUAGCGGAGUACAGUCAAGUUUAUUCAUAGCUAAAAAUAAAAAAACUCAAUAUAACACAACAACCAAAAGAAAACUUGCAUCAGCUAGCCUCAUGUUCAAACAUGGAGAACUAAAGUUAAUAAUCGGACCAAUUUACAUGAAAAUGCCAAUAAUCAUUCCCUAUGUCUAGGAAAGUUAACCAAAAAUUAUAAGAGCCACAUAAUCACUGAUAUUCACCAAAGGAAUGCUCUUGAAUUCAACCACAUUAACUCGACACAUUUUUAUUAUUAAAACUUGGUAAAAGUAGAAAUAGGGGCAACAAUCCAACAUCAAAUUUGGCAGUCAUAGGAGAGCUAGACAGAUAAAUGACAAAAUGUAAACGAAAACUAGACAAAUAACAGACUAAAAAUAAAAGAAAAAUAUCUGAAAACUAAGAACUAGAAAAAGAAACUAGCACAGCUAUCCCCCCCCACACCUAGAUCCUACAUUGUCCUCAAUGGAGGGAAUAAAACAAUUAAAGUGAAGAGGACAAAGAAACUUCCCUCUCGAGUGGCUAAGGGUAUUUGGCAGCUGCGGAGGGAAACCAAUGUGGUGAAGUACAUGCCCCAGUUCUGAGACAUCAUAACUCAAUUCAACCAGCAAAUGCACAACUCUAUCCACCCAAAAUCUCAACAAAGUCUCCAAGUGGAUAGUUAAUUUUCAACUCAGAAGCGGCAAUUCCAGCAAUAGCAGUAUAGAAAGUAGACAAUAACCACACAAUCACAAGUUUUUCCUUUUUAAUCAGGCAGCCAACCAAUUGGAAAUAACAAAUGCUAAUCAAAAUACCCCAACCAGUACCACUGGUGCAAAACGUAGUCCAAAAUCAAUGAAAUAGAUAUAACAGAGCAGAGUAAAUGCUACCUAUGGCCCCCAAUGCAUCAGCUAACAGUAGAAGCUAUACAAUGCCACACUCGCAACAGAUACUCCAACAAAGGCAGCAAAUGAACUCAAUUGCAACGACUACGGAAGGCAAGUGAAAUCAAGAGACUAAACACACCCAGUAAACCAAAAUUAGUUAACCAACUUCAAGAAGCGAUACAGGGGUCACAAUGCCCUUCCGACUCAACAAACAACCCAGAAAUUUGCGCUACUACAGUCCUAACAAUUCAAGCAAUAAGCCCCAAUAUUUAUCCAGUAACCAGUGAAUAAUUCCAAAUCUCCAAAGAAAGUCAACAUAGGGCUAAAAGUAUAAUGGACAAAGCAAUCAGCGGGACCCCAGAUUUAUAAUAGAAUAUCUCGUGAAGCAGCAUUGGAAACAAUGGACAGACCACUCCCAACAAUUGAAGUAAAUUCGUCCAAUUUCAACAGGCAACACAAAUGCCACAAAUUCCACCCAAUUCAACUACAGGAAUCAUCCAAUCACCCCAAAAUUGCAACAAGUGGCUCCAGAUGGCCAAUUAAAUGCACAACUUCACCCACCCCAAAAGAAUUAGCAAUUCCAAGCUAGAAUAAUCCAACCAGUACCACUGGUGGAAAUCACCCAAAUAUGCAUAAGCUACUACCAAAUAUCACCGACUAACACUGAGAAAUUGGGGGGCAAGUGUCGAAUACCUCCACUGGGACUACCCCAGGCGGCAGACAGAGAAGCGGCGUUGAAGUUGGUGGUGGAUGGCUGCGUCCGUGCGCAGAGCAUGGCUGCUGGACAGAGGCUGCUGCACGUCCCUGUGGGCUCGUCGCCACUUGCGGAGGGAGUCGCGUGGGGCUUUAGUAGCGGCGGCGCAGAGGCUGGGCCGCGGCUUAGUGGCGCGCCGGGGUCGCGGGCUGCGCGCGAUCUGGUGGAGAGCAGCGGAGAGCGGCGGCGGGGCGCGCGAUUGAGUUGAGGAAGGGGGUGGCGCGCGGUGGAGUUUGAGAUGGCGGUGGGCACGAGCGGCGGACAGAGCGAACAAAGGAGAAGAAAGAAAGAAAAGAGAAAGAAAGAAAAAGAAAGGAAAGAAAGAAAAGAAAAGAAGGAAAAAAUUUUUUUUUUUUGUUUGUUUGUUUUUGUUUUUGUUUUUUCUUGAUAAUUGAGAAAAUUUUUUUUUUUUUUUUUUUGAUAAUUGAGAAACCAAGCUACGGUUGAGAAAAUUUCUCUUUUUUUUUUUUUUUUUUAAUCCUUACCUUUCCCGCGAACGUGACGCGGGCACGCCAUGCGGGCAAGAGAGCUCCCAGAAGUUUCUGCUCGUGAGCUAUCUGCACGUCACCACGCGGGCACGUCAUGAGGGCAAGAGAGCUCCCAGAAGUUCAGAAAUUCCUGAUCGUGAGCUUCCUGCACAUCAUCACGCGGGCGCGUCAUGGGUGAAGGUCACUUACAAAUCAGCAAAGACGAAGAUCAACACCCAAAAUCAGUCAAAUUAAAGGGAAAACAGAUUUAAACUAUGUCACUAAACCAAUAAGCAAUUGAAAGAAAUAAUUGGGCUGCCUCCCAAUGAGCGCCUUUCUUUUAUGUCUUUGGCUAGACAUGGUCAUGUUUUGUUCAUGGAGGAUAAAAUCUUGUGGCUCGUCUUAAUGCUUCAUCUUCAAUGUGAUCCUGGUAACCCUCAUAGAUGGAGUAAUCUUUGAGCACACGAGCUACAGUCUUCCAUGGAUUAGUUGAUGGCGCCAAAUAAUCAAGCAGUGAUCUCAAUUUUUCCUCCACCCCUCCAUCAAGAGCACUCAACGGUUCAAGAUAUUUGACCAUAGCUACUCUUAACUUAUUUCUGCCAUGAGACUCAAAAACUUCCGAUAUAACAAAAUCAAUCUCAUUAACAGAAAUCAUGGAAUAAGAGUUAAGAAAAUGCGGGUUAGGGAAUGGAGGUGGUGUCACCACAUUUGAUGAUUCUUCACUGGAUUCUUUCACUUCAAUGGGUUGCGGUUGGGGUUCCAUUUCUUCAUUUUCGGCUUCUUUUUCAACUGCAUCUGUAGACUUCUCAUUUUGACAUUCUUGCAUCUCCUCAUCCUUGUCCUUAGGGAUCACAGGCUCAGGCCCUUGAACCUCUUUCCCACUCCUUAGGGUCAUUGCGCUCACGUUCUUCGGAUUCAACUCCGGUUGAGAUGGCAAUUCACCUUGGUUCUGGGAAUCCAAACGAUUGAUUGUUGUAGCCAUUUGACUUAUCUGAUUCCUUAUACCCUGCAUUUCGGAGUCCGUCCUUUGUUGAUUUUGCAUAAGAAUUGCCUCCGUCCUUUGCUGAUUUUGCGCCAUGUUUGUCAUCAUUUGUUUUAUCAUCUCAUCCAAAGAUGGACCAGAGCUUGGGGGCGGAGGUGGUCGGGGUUGGUAUUGCUGCUGGUACCCUGACAGGGAAGAUGGUUGUUGAGACUCUUGCUGUUGAAAAUCCAUUGGCCCGGUCGCAUAAUCAAAACUGGAAUUAUCCCACCAUCCUUGAUCAUACCCGUUUGAAUAAGGGUCAUACUGCAUUUGAUAUUGGGGUGAAAAAUCUCCAAAAGUAUCAAUUGGAGCACUUAGAUUGUCUUGAAAUGCGGGGCUUGUGUCAGUUGAAUAACCUGAGUCAAAAUAAGUUCCACAAUUUGCAACAGCCCAUUGAUCAUUAGGAAAAACAUGAGUCUCAUAACCCCAUUCAGGAACAAAGUCCAGUCUAUCAUCAAAAUAUGGAAUAUUAGCAGCCAUAAACUAUAUAAAAAAAAAUAAGAGAAAAAUAAAUUAAAAAUGAAAACAAGGUGAACUCAAAAAGAAACAAAUUAAUCUGACACCAGUCCCCGGCAGCGGCGCCAAAAAUUGACAGGUGCCGAACCUGUGCAAUAAUAAAUACCUACUCGAGAAAAAUACAGAUUUUGUAUAUAGCGGUGAGUAGGGUCGAAUCCACAGGGACUGGGGAUAAUUCGUUUCUUUUAGAGUCCAAAGUAUGGGGGGUUUUGGAUUGAAUGCUAACUAAAUAAAUUAACUGCAGAAAAUAAUUAAUUAAAAGAGAUAAUUGGAGAAACUCUAGCCAAGGGUACACUUCAGAAAUGGUUCAUGCACUGAUCAUUGAUUCACAGAUAAUUCCACAUUUAUUAAUAGACCAGUUAUAGUUGUCAUGCACGCAAUAAACAACCAACCUUUCCUUAAUUUCUCGAUAGUUAAGGUACGACCGUUAACUAUUUCUCUAACCCAAAAACAACCCUACGUACGACCAUAGGAUUUAAUUUCUAGAUUGCAUUAAUAAUUAGAAAGACCCAAUCCUAACUAACAAACACGCUACGAGGGUUCGUUUAAGUUAGAUCGUAUGCUCCCCUGACAUAAACCCAAUUACGCCAGUUGCUACUGAGAUAAAGAUAACGAACAAUUACGGAUUCAAUUAUCCUUAUUUAGCAAAAUAGCCUAUGUGAAUAAUUAAAUAUUGCGCAUCUAUUCAAUCACUCACACGAGCUAUAACGGUUAAAAGCAGGAAACAUAUAAAUACCAAUAAAUUAAGGAAGCAAUUAAAAUAAAAUAGAUCUCACAGUAAUUAUUGAACCAAAUCUUCAGUUGUCCCCUUGACUAGAAAAACUUAGCUACGCCCCAUGAGAAAAUCUUCCCGUUGGGGAAUAUUGUCGAAUACCUGGCGUGUAUCAGAUGCCAGUCAAAAGAAAUAAAACUAGAACUAAACUAAAAAACUAAAAACUAGAGCUGUCUAAAAGGAUCCCCCCUUUUGCUUCUGUACGUCUCCCCUUAAAAAGCCAAAAGAAAGAAACCUAAAAGCUAUUUCCUGUGGUCCCCACACAUGUGGACAAAGCCUCCAAAUUACUUCUUGGUCCAAGUCUCUCUCCGUUGCUUUCUUUGAAAGGCCCAAAUGACUAAAUGCCUUUCACUAGCUUGUGGUCCCCACACAAUUCAAGAGUCCAAGGUCCUUAGAAGUCUCCAUUUUCCCAUAGAAGUCCCCCCUUUUUGGUAAUUUUCUGCUUUGUUCCUGAAAUUAAGUCCCAAUACCAAAUAUAAGUAAAUAUUAAUAAUUAAAACAAUAUUUGGUAAGAAUAAAAGGGGAAAUUAACAAUAAAAUUACUAACAAUUAACAACCUAUCAGGAACCAUGGCCAUGCCUACCUAUAGGGAUAAGGAAAUAAAAUUUUGAUAGAUCUGAGAGAACUAGUGGUUAAGAAUAAGAAUAGUGCGUAGCUUUCAAAGUCACAUGGCCUGUAACAUUUCUAAAGUUGCGAGAGAGAAAGGAAGAACACAAAAGCAUUAAUUAAGCCAAGUAGAUGUGCUGAAGCUUUAAAUGGAAGCAUGAAGAUUAACUUCACCAAGCGUAUCGUAGAGAGGUACACAAAUUAAACUCUGGGAACCGCAGGCCUGCAUAGCAUAUUCAAAGUUAUUCAACCUGUUCGGGGAUGCGACAAAUUGUAUUCAUAAUAGAAUGGAAGAGCUGGAUAAAUUUCCAGAAAAAUUUUACUAAUAAAACAAAUGGAAAGUCACAUUCAUCAUGGAGAUAAAUUAUUCAAACAAACCUCCAUUGCAACAAUCCACUGCGGACAAUUUGAUCCGUAGAUUCCUACCCGGGCGCCCUAUAAAUAGCAUAAUCCAACCAAAGUUUAUGUUUUCAGGCAAAUGUCUACACCUAAUAUUUCUAUUUGAGCAACUGAACAUUGAUAUAUAUAUAUCUUGUAGAUUCAGUAGUAGUAUGCAAACAGAAAAAGAAAAAAUUAAUUCAAAUGCUCCAGUAAAGUAUUGAUGCUUCCUUACGGGUUGAAUUCCGCAUGCUCGUAGCGCUGAACCAGCGCACAGAGUUUCUUGGUACACUUCUUCAUAUGUUUUCCAGACAUAAGGGCCCCACUAGAGACAAUAAAAAAAGGUCCAGAAUCAAAGGCUCAGCGAGGAUUGAUUUAGUUUUAGGGGAUGAAUUUGGAGACGAAAGAACACAUGCAAGUUGUUUUAAGAUAUACAAUUUGCAACUUUUAUGCUUAAAGAAUGUUAAUUGGAAAGUAAAAGUUUUAAUUUUUAUUAAAAUGGUUUCAGAUAUAAACCAAAUCGAAUUAAAUAGAGUAUUUUUUUUUAUGCAUGAAGGACAAAAGUGCAAAAAUAAUAUCAAAGUGUUCUAUUUGAUAAUCUAAUUCAACACUUAAAUCUAAUGGGUUUAGAUCUUAGUAUCUUCGUAUGUGUUAAAUAAAAAAAAAUAAAACAUCUGAAUUAAUUAAGUGGUAUUGAAUUUUUCUAUGCAAAACUUGUUCUAAAAAAAAUAAGUGAUAACUUAUUCGCUUAUCACUUAAUGUAAUAUACACUCAAAUAUAUCAAUUUAAUACUUAACAAUUCAGUAAUUUAAAGGAUUCUAAUUUCAGAUUUUAAUUUUAUCAAACACGCUUAGAGCAGCACUACAUAUUAUUAAAACAUGAAAUUAAUCUUCUAUCGACAAAUUAAUAACAAAAAGAACCAUGAAAGUCAAUCAAUCAAAGAUAAAUUCAAAGAGAAAAGGGACAAAAUCAAGCCGAGUGGGGCAAGAGAGUUAAACAAAAUCUUGCAGGGGGUAAAAUAAAACUCUAUAAAACGUUAUAGGUAAAAGUACAAUUCCUCAAAAGUUAGGAGCCCUCUGCCACCGUGCGACUGAAGGAGAAGAAAACUGAAAAUAGAAGGCAGGUGGUGGAUGAUCAAUGAAGACCUGGUGAUUGAGAAAUUCACGCCAUCCUAGCAUCCUAUUUCUUGGAUAUUUUUCAACUGAGGCCCUGUCAAACACCAAUAUCCAUCCCAGAGAUUAAAAAAAAAAAAAAACUAUUGAGAGUACUUGCGGAAUGAGUUUAACUGAUAAAGAACGACCAGCCAUAAGAGAAGCAUGACUGAUGACACUACUAAUGCUGGUGCUGGACAUUGAUUCAUGAGUUGUAAUUUUUUUUUACCUAAAUAUUUCCCAAGCUGUGGAUAAAUUAGGAUCAGUAGGCGGAAAGUCAUGCCGGGCUAUUAGAUUUCGAUAUACGGGGCCAACCGACGGCUGGCCGUCGCGGCCUUCCCUCCCUUCUUCCACCUUAGCGGCAAACAUCUUCAUGGCUGUAGUGUAAUCUGCAGAAUGCCAGAAACAAGUCAAUGCAAGAAUUUCUUUGGCCCGGAUCCACGAGCUUCCACGAUGGCCAACAAAAAAGUGGCGUGUACACGUAGUAUUUAGAUGCCACUAGGCUAGUACGGAUUAGCUCAGCCAGUAAGGUUGGACUACUUUCUUAAAAAGUUGCGUGUUUGACUAGUGACACAUCAAGAUUUUGUAUUUGUAAGUCAAUUCGUAUGUCUCUUGUAACCUAUAAUCAAGCGCUUGUCCUAACCAAUCGUGAUGGUCGGAGUUAAAAUCAUCCGAAUUUGCUAUUAACAAUCGCGUCUAUAAUUGUACAUCAAAUUAUAGAUAAAAUACAACAAAUCAAAUCGAAUCGAAUCGAAUCAAAUCGUAUCUAACACAACCACACUCAACCAUACCUGAGUCAAAUGCUCUAAUUUGGUUGAAAAUUGUGACAGGAGGACCGAAAGCUCAGUUUGUCAGUCUUAAAUUCAGCUGGUGGGAUGUUUGUUUCAGAUUUGUACAUUCAAGUCCUACCCGCCAAAUCU